CUUCUUUCAUCUGGAUUUCUGCAUGCAAAACCAACAGAAUCAACAUUGGACGAAGAGCCUACAGGCUUUAAAAUCACAUAGGGAAUCAUCUAUUUUUAGAUUGUUAACGAAUGUAUUUGGUUUUGAAUUUUCAUUUGGACACACCUCGUUAAUUUAUAGUAUAGCAAUGUCAAGGAGCAGAGAGAUGGGGUGGACUGCCCUGUAAUUCAGCAUCUUGCUGGCUUGUUUUUAAGGAUCUAUACAAACAGCCUCUGUGGUGUUAAUCACAGGCCCUGACUAAAUGACGAAGGCUGGGGCCACUGGGAAUGUCUUAUGGUCUCACACAGGAUGGGCCUGGUCCUCAGGACGGUUUGCUCAGAUUUUGGGCAGAAGCUGACCGUUCCAAUGGAAGCCAGCCUCAAAAUCUCCUUUCCUAUGACAUAACUGGAAAGUGCUGCUAACGGCAGCAGGGGAAACAGGGCAGCAGAGCUUGUUCAGGCAGGAGAGCAAGAUUCAGGCAUGACCAAUGACCAGAGGGUCCCUGAGAGUGAAGGAGACCAACAGGCCAGGCUGUGAGAAGGCAGGAGGGCACAGGAGCCAUUCCAGAAGGCUGACUGUGAGCAGGGACUAGAGAGGCUUCAUUGCACUUACUUAUGCGAACACUCUUAGGUCUUGGGAGGGCAACAAUGGGUCUCCUGAGAGGCCUAUGACAGGUUCCUGCUCUCCAGUGACAAGGCGGGGGGCAGAGAGCACACACCCCUUCAGGGCCAGCUGGAGCUGAGUCUGCAUGGCCUCUCCACAGCGGUGCCCUCCUGGAUUUGUCUCUCUGCCAGGAUUCUUUGUGGGGUACAACAUGCCCACACCACACCCCUUCCAAUACUGGAAUUCUUCCGGACAGGCCUACGAGAGCCUGAGGAAUAGGCCCCUGUGCUUUCUGCCAGGCCAGGGGUGCACUGGGACGUGUAACAUCUAGUGACAGCCUUGGGCAGAGGCCUGAGUCCCAAGCUUGGGUCAUGGGAGAUCACAGAACUAGAGCAGUGCAGCUAAGGCCAUUUUGAGGUGACAUCUAUGAGAAACAGCUAAGUCCAAGAGCCAUGAGGGGAGAUUUGAGAAUGUGAUGAAAAUGGUGGUUUUUAGAGAAGGGUUGGGAGGUGUGGGACGCUGGCAUGAGAAUCCUCUGGUGACUACGGCUUAGACCUGAAAUCCCGAGGGGCAAAGAGUGAAAACUCCAUUUAAGGUAAAAGAGUCUCCAAACCAAUGCAUUGAUAGUAAAUAUACAAUUUAAAAAUAACAUCAUUUACAUUUACACACAUCAAUUAAAUUUAUACAUGCAAAUGGAGGGAUGGAAACAUGCCCUUUGCUCAGUUAAAUCUGUGUAGGAAUCAUUGUAUAUUAUCAUCUAAAUGUUGAAAAAUACACUUUAUUGGUAACAAGUCGUAAGAACUGGAGAAGUUUUGUCUGGGUUCAGGAUUUUCUCAUUAAGGGUAAAGUUUGGCGGUUUGGAGACCCUUAAGAAGCUAACACAUUUGCAGUGUAGUUUCUUAUAUUCUACUUCUUUUAUUCCAAUUCUUUACCUAUAAGUCUAUAGUAAUUGUAUUUUUACCCAGAGAAGCCAUGUACUUCUGAGGGAGGAAAAAACCCCUUUCUUUUUCUAGAGUGGGUGUAAGAGUCAGUUAGCACCUAGGCAUGGGAACCAAGGCCUGGCCACCUUCCCAGGGGCCCCUGAUGAUGCAGACAGGCCCAGCGUGGGCCUUCUCUGGGCUUGGGAGGGAAAGAAGUAAGGAUAAGUUUAGUUUUCUUUUGAAGUUAAUAAUCUCCUAUAAAGGCUUUUAGUAAGGUAAAGCAGACACCUUAGACAGCAUUUAACAUUUCCUCUUUCUUUUCUUGAGGUUGGUGAAAUCUGAGGGCACCAGGUCUUGGAAAGACAGGUGUUGGCCCAUCACCAGGAAAUGUGUGCCAGCCGGAGACCCUGGGCAGGGUGGGACAUGCCCCUUCUCAGUGCCCCCUGCUCCUCCUCUUCAGCUGGGUGCUGGGUGCAGAACAAAGAAAUACUUUGCUCUUGUUCUCUCUUAUAAGUGGGAGCUGAACAAUGUGAACACAUGGACCCAGGGAGGAGAACAACACACACUGGGGCCUGUCGGGGGGCCGGGCAGGGAGAGGGAGAGCAUCAGGAAAAAUAUGGACUUGCUGGGCUUAAUGCCUAGGCGAUGGGUUGAUAGGUGCAGCAAAUCACCAUGGCACACGUUUACGUAUGUAACAAACCUGCACGUCCUGCACAUGUACCCCGGAACGUAAAAGAAAACAAAAAGAAGAAAUGCUUUGCUCUCCAGAAUCCCUCUUUCCCCCAGACUGGACAGAAAGGAAGCCGAAGGAAACAUCUGAGUGGCUGGUGUCUCUCUUUUACAUUCCACCGUGGGAGGCAGGGGACUUUUUUGAAUUAGCAGUUUUCUUGUUCAAAGGGACAGUCUCCAGACGGCAUUGGGAGAAGUCUGUCUGUAACAUUCUGUGUCUUCUCAUGACCACAACUUAUCUGAGGAAUGACACUAUUUCCAGAACAGAUUCUGAUGGAGAUUUUGGACCAAUUUUGAAAAUGCUGUAGGGAUAAACAUUCUCAGAUGUGCUGAACUUGGGAUGAUGUGUGGAUACUUUAAGAGGAGCAAAACCAAACAAAACAAAAUAGCGGCCUUUUACUCAGACAGUGUUCCAGUCAGAGAUGGGCGUGCUGUGUAUGAGGGUGAAGUUCGUGGCGGUGCAGGAUAAAGGAGGAGGAAGACAAACUUUGAGCAUUUGCAGGUUGAUAUGUACUCACGAUCUUAUUUCAUCUUUCCAACAACCAGUGUGGAGUGGAAUAUUUUAUUUUUCAUGAAUUUUUUCCUCCACUUUAUUGAAGUAUAAUUAGUAUAUCAAAAAACUGCACAUAAUAAUGUAUCUAAUUUGGUGAGUUUGGACAAAUGUAUACAACUCAUGUUACUCUCUCCCCAAUGCAGAUAAUAAAUACGUCUAUCACCUCUUCAAAU
rnacentral:lncRNA from 1 species